AUUGAACGCUGGCGGCAGGCCUAACACAUGCAAGUCGAACGGUAACAGGAAACAGCUUGCUGUUUCGCUGACGAGUGGCGGACGGGUGAGUAAUGUCUGGGAAACUGCCUGAUGGAGGGGGAUAACUACUGGAAACGGUAGCUAAUACCGCAUAACGUCGCAAGACCAAAGAGGGGGACCCUCGGGCCUCUUGCCAUCGGAUGUGCCCAGAUGGGAUUAGCUUGUUGGUGGGGUAACGGCUCACCAAGGCGACGAUCCCUAGCUGGUCUGAGAGGAUGACCAGCCACACUGGAACUGAGACACGGUCCAGACUCCUACGGGAGGCAGCAGUGGGGAAUAUUGCACAAUGGGCGCAAGCCUGAUGCAGCCAUGCCGCGUGUAUGAAGAAGGCCUUCGGGUUGUAAAGUACUUUCAGCAGGGAGGAAGGGAGUAAAGUUAAUACCUUUGCUCAUUGACGUUACCCGCAGAAGAAGCACCGGCUAACUCCGUG
rnacentral:rRNA from 1 species